rnacentral:rRNA from 1 species
AUGGAAAUCCAACGCGGGCCACAUGCCCUCCCCGACCCCUCUUCAACUUCGGCGCGGGUCGAAGAGCACCAGCCGCCACCCGAUGGAGGCGGAGGUGGCCUCCCCCAACGCACCCCUGUCUGGGGGCUUGCUGCGCCGCCGCUGGAUGUCUCUUCUAGUGGAUCUCCGUGUCUUGACCGACCUCCCUUCCUGGUGCAGUCCAUGCUUCGGGGCGGCCAUCUGGGCGUGAGCACCUCGGGCAUGGCCGGCGCCGGAUUCCGCCACGCCUUGCUCCUGCAGCAUUCUGUACAGUUCAUUCCGUGGGGGUGUCGUGAUGCAGUAUGCAUCGUUGUGGCGAUGUGGCUCGAUGGUAGUGCUCGAGCAGCACCUACGCUUCCCUCAAUUUCUUUUCAUGUGCAGUUUGCUUUGAAAACAGAGAAGGGCUCUCGUGAGGCCUUCGCGGAUGAGAUGCUCCCGACCUUGCCUCUUCCGAUCAUUUCCAUCCCCUAA